CUUGACCGAGCCGAGCAGCAGCGGGCGUUCGCGGCCCUGCCCGUAAGUGGCAAGCAACGCCUGGGCCUC
rnacentral:antisense_RNA from 1 species